AGUGAACGCUGGCGGUAGGCCUAACACAUGCAAGUCGAACGGCAGCACAGUAAGAGCUUGCUCUUACGGGUGGCGAGUGGCGGACGGGUGAGGAAUACAUCGGAAUCUACUUUUUCGUGGGGGAUAACGUAGGGAAACUUACGCUAAUACCGCAUACGACCUACGGGUGAAAGCAGGGGAUCUUCGUACCUUGCGCGAUUGAAUGCGCCGAUGUCGGAUUAGCUAGUUGGCGGGGUAAAGGCCCACCAAGGCGACGAUCCGUAGCUGGUCUGAGAGGAUGAUCAGCCACUGGAACUGAGACACGGUCCAGACUCCUACGGGAGGCAGCAGUGGGGAAUAUUGGACAAUGGGCGCAAGCCUGAUCCAGCCAUACCGAGUGGGUGAAGAAGGCCUUCGGGUUGUAAAGCCCUUUUGUUGGGAAAGAAAAGCAGCAGGUUAAUACCCCGCUGUUCUGACGGUACCCAAAGAAUAAGCACCGGCUAACUUCGUG
rnacentral:rRNA from 1 species